AGGUGGGGUGGGCGGUGAGCUAGCAAGUGAUUGUCACACUUUGUCAUGUAGCGAAGACAAAUGUCAAUAAAUAUUACCAUGUUCAGUUAAUAAGCUACUACUAAUUAAAUGUAAUUAGGGAACCCUCAAAUUAUGGCCGAGUCACGAAUUCCUUUCCACACUUCCUCACGACCCUAUUGCCGGCCAAUUAUAUAUGUACGUCAAGCCCUUUUUGGUUUGUUAAAUACAACCAUGUUGGGU
rnacentral:lncRNA from 1 species